CUCUUGCCCCACUCUUCAAAAAGCUCAUAUUAGGAAGUAAAAACUUGCGACUGCGCAUAUUAACUUAUUUGAAUGAUAUCCGAAAGAGCAUGAAACAGAGAAGUUCUUCAAUUUCAGGACAUUUAUUUUGAAAAUCUAGAAACGUGUCUGCUUCGCCAAAAAGGACAGUCGAACUAGUCUUUCAGACUCUGCAAAUCGUUGGCAUUGUGGCAAAUGUACCUGGAAGGUGCGGACAUUUGUCAAAGGCAGAGUCGACAUCGAACCAACCUCCGGCAACCUGCGGCGUGGCAAGAGAAUCUUCGGACUCGAACUCGGACCCAAAUUCUGCUAGGUAUGUACAUACAUAUAUGUAUGUACGUGUGUAUGCAGGGCAACACAGCGGGAACUGAAACGAACCUCGAAAAUGCGCUUGCUGUGCGCUCCUCUACGAUCUCAUUAUGUGUUUUCCCUUUUGUAAUUUAACGUCUUAUUCAAGUCAUUCCAAGAUCUUUUUACUCUAUGAAAAACACCAGACCCAGCUCCGUGCUGCCUGCCUGUUGCCUGCCUGUUGCCUGCCUGCCUGCCUGUGAUUAUGAAUACAAAGCAUUCACAUUCACACUCACACUUGUGCGCAUUCGUCUUAUUUAACGAGGGAACUUCGUCGUUUCUCGGAAACAACAUAAAACCAGAUAUGUGUAUACGUAAGUUUUUUGGUUUUGCAUCUGCAUUUGAGUCCCCGCACAGCAUCAUCCGGCGACAGUCCAAGACGAUGUAACAUGCAGGAACACGUCGCGAUCUAGAGAGCUUCGACAACUCCUUUGACGGCUCCUGCGCUUAAAUACAUACAUACAUAUGUACAUCAAAAAUAAUUUAGCAGCCUUUCCUUGAAAAUAUACUGACAAUCGAAGGAGUCCGAAUGACUUUAUUUUCAAUACGACUUCUCGAGCAUGGGUCUGGGCCGAUGUUAAGGGCUUAAUUAGUCAGCAAAUCGAAGCCCCAAACGAAGUAGUCAACGGAGUCUGAUGCGUCGUACUCUCGCUCUCAAAUCCAGUUUUAGUUGUUUUUUUUAUUACAUACCUAAAUACUUCAUUUCCACAUGUGCCUACAUAUGUACAUACAUACAUACAUACAGUUCUUACAAAAGUAUAAGCAUGCAUGUGUAUGCAUGUAUGUGUA